rnacentral:rRNA from 1 species
AGCGAACGCUGGCGGCAGGCUUAACACAUGCAAGUCGAGCGGGCAUAGCAAUAUGUCAGCGGCAGACGGGUGAGUAACGCGUGGGAACGUACCUUUUGGUUCGGAACAACACAGGGAAACUUGUGCUAAUACCGGAUAAGCCCUUACGGGGAAAGAUUUAUCGCCGAAAGAUCGGCCCGCGUCUGAUUAGCUAGUUGGUGAGGUAAUGGCUCACCAAGGCGACGAUCAGUAGCUGGUCUGAGAGGAUGAUCAGCCACAUUGGGACUGAGACACGGCCCAAACUCCUACGGGAGGCAGCAGUGGGGAAUAUUGGACAAUGGGCGCAAGCCUGAUCCAGCCAUGCCGCGUGAGUGAUGAAGGCCGUAGGGUUGUAAAGCUCUUUUGUGCGGGAAGAUAAUGACGGUACCGCAAGAAUAAGCCCCGGCUAACUUCGUG